GGGUUGUGAGGUUAAGCGACUAAGCGUACACGGUGGAUGCCCUGGCAGUCAGAGGCGAUGAAGGGCGUGCUAAUCUGCGAUAAGCGCCGGUAAGGUGAUAUGAACCGUUAUAACCGGCGAUACCCGAAUGGGGAAACCCAGUGUGACUCGUCACACUAUCAUUAACUGAAUCCAUAGGUUAAUGAGGCGAACCGGGGGAACUGAAACAUCUAAGUACCCCGAGGAAAAGAAAUCAACCGAGAUUCCCCCAGUAGCGGCGAGCGAACGGGGAGGAGCCCAGAGCCUGAAUCAGCAUGUGUGUUAGUGGAAGCGUCUGGAAAGGCGCGCGAUACAGGGUGACAGCCCCGUACACAAAAGCGCAUGUGCUGUGAGCUCGAUGAGUAGGGCGGGACACGUGGUAUCCUGUCUGAAUAUGGGGGGACCAUCCUCCAAGGCUAAAUACUCCUGACUGACCGAUAGUGAACCAGUACCGUGAGGGAAAGGCGAAAAGAACCCCGGCGAGGGGAGUGAAAAAGAACCUGAAACCGUGUACGUACAAGCAGUGGGAGCNNGUGACUGCGUACCUUUUGUAUAAUGGGUCAGCGACUUAUAUUCUGUAGCAAGGUUAACCGAAUAGGGGAGCCGGAGGGAAACCGAGUCUUAAUUGGGCGUUAAGUUGCAGGGUAUAGACCCGAAACCCGGUGAUCUAGCCAUGGGCAGGUUGAAGGUUGGGUAACACUAACUGGAGGACCGAACCGACUAAUGUUGAAAAAUUAGCGGAUGACCUGUGGCUGGGGGUGAAAGGCCAAUCAAACCGGGAGAUAGCUGGUUCUCCCCGAAAGCUAUUUAGGUAGCGCCUCGUGAAUUCAUCUCCGGGGGUAGAGCACUGUUUCGGCUAGGGGGCCAUCCCGGCUUACCAACCCGAUGCAAACUGCGAAUACCGGAGAAUGUUAUCACGGGAGACACACGGCGGGUGCUAACGUCCGUCGUGAAGAGGGAAACAACCCAGACCGCCAGCUAAGGUCCCAAAGUCAUGGUUAAGUGGGAAACGAUGUGGGAAGGCCCAGACAGCCAGGAUGUUGGCUUAGAAGCAGCCAUCAUUUAAAGAAAGCGUAAUAGCUCACUGGUCGAGUCGGCCUGCGCGGAAGAUGUAACGGGGCUAAACCAUGCACCGAAGCUGCGGCAGCGANNGUUGGGUAGGGGAGCGUUCUGUAAGCCUGCGAAGGUGGCCUGUGAGGGUUGCUGGAGGUAUCAGAAGUGCGAAUGCUGACAUAAGUAACGAUAAAGCGGGUGAAAAGCCCGCUCGCCGGAAGACCAAGGGUUCCUGUCCAACGUUAAUCGGGGCAGGGUGAGUCGACCCCUAAGGCGAGGCCGAAAGGCGUAGUCGAUGGGAAACGGGUUAAUAUUCCCGUACUUGGUGUUACUGCGAAGGGGGGACGGAGAAGGCUAUGUUGGCCGGGCGACGGUUGUCCCGGUUUAAGCGUGUAGG
rnacentral:rRNA from 2 species